rnacentral:rRNA from 1 species
GACGAACGCUGGCGGCGCGCUUAACGCAUGCAAGUCGAACGGAAAGGCCUGCUUUCCCUUGUGGAUUGCGGGUACUCGAGUGGCGAACGGGUGAGUAACACGUGAGUGAUCUGCCCCCAACUUGGGUAUAAGCCUGGGAAACUGGGUCUAAUUCCCGAUAGGACUGCAGGGUGGUGCCUGUGGUGGAAAACGAUUUUCUAGUGGUUGGGGAUGAGCUCGCGGCCUAUCAGCUUGUUGGUGGGGUAAUGGCCUACCAAGGCGGCGACGGGUAGCCGGCCUGAGAGGGUGGACGGCCACAUUGGGACUGAGAUACGGCCCAGACUCCUACGGGAGGCAGCAGUGGGGAAGAUUGCACAAUGGGCGGAAGCCUGAUGCAGCGACGCCGCGUGGGGGAUGACGGCCUUCGGGUUGUAAACUCCUUUCGACCGCGAGGAAGCCACCUGGUUGGAAGGGUGGUGACGGUAGUGGUAGAAGAAGCACCGGCUAACUACGUG